rnacentral:rRNA from 1 species
CGGUAGAUCGUGGCCAGCGUGCGCGGGAAUACGGGGGGGUCGAGCGGUAAUCGGAGUGACUGGGCGUAAAGCGUGUGGAGGCGGGUCGUUAAGGCGGAUGUGAAAGCCCUGGGCUCAACCUAGGAAUUGCACUCGAUACUGGCGAGCUAGAGUACGGUAGAGGGCGGCGGAAUGCCGGGUGUAGCGGUGAAAUGCGUAGAUAUCCGGAGGAACACCGAUGGCGAAGGCAACCGCCUGGGCCUGUACUGACGCUGAGACACGAAAGCGUGGGGAGCAAACAGGAUUAGAUACCCCGGUAGUC